rnacentral:rRNA from 1 species
UACGUAGGGUCCGAGCGUUGUCCGGAAUUACUGGGCGUAAAGAGCUCGUAGGUGGUUUGUCGCGUUGUUCGUGAAAACUCACAGCUCAACUGUGGGCGUGCGGGCGAUACGGGCAGACUAGAGUACUGCAGGGGAGACUGGAAUUCCUGGUGUAGCGGUGGAAUGCGCAGAUAUCAGGAGGAACACCGGUGGCGAAGGCGGGUCUCUGGGCCGUAACUGACGC